rnacentral:ncRNA from 2 species
AAAAGUAACUGGGGGAGUCCAUCUUGCUGGGCUGAGAGGACGGAAGCGAUGACCGUCGACCCUUUGCACCUGAUCCAGAUCAUGCUGGCGCAGGGAAGUGGUUACAGGCGGAU